AAGAAAAUUAAUUAAAAAAAUACUAAAAUAGUAAAUAAUAAUUUAUUGAAACUUAAAUAAUUUGGCGGUAUUUUAGUUCAUUUAGAGGAAUCUGUCUAAUAAUUGAUAAUCCACGAAUAAUUAUACUUAAUUUAAAAUUUUAUAUAUCGUUGUUAAAAAAAUAUUUUUAAAAAAAAAUAAUAUUUAAAAAUUAUAAUUAAAAAAUUAAUUCAGAUCAAGAUGUAGAUUAUAAUUAAGAAUAUGAUGGAUUACAAUAAUAAUAAUUAAAUGAAUUUUUAUAUUGAAAUAAUAAAUUGAAGGUGGAUUUAAAUGUAAUUUUAUUUAAUUUAAUAAAAUGAUUAUAAAUUAAAAUAUGUACAUAUUGCCCGUCACUUUCAUUUAAAAAUUGAAAUAAGUCGUAACAAAGUAGAGGUACUGGAAAGUGUUUCUAGAAAUA
rnacentral:rRNA from 1 species